rnacentral:lncRNA from 1 species
UCAAAUAAACUUUCAAAAAUUAAAUAUGACAAUUAAAAGUUGACGAAGGAGGUAUAAAAUGAAGGAAGUAAUAUAAAAGAAUACAACUUUUUAGGUAUAUUGAUUAGUGUGCCUUGAUUGUAUCGUAGACUUCAAUGUAUGCACACAUUUCAAUAUUUCCAUCUUUCUUUCGUUAUUUUUAAUUAAACAAAAUGGCAAUGGGCCAAUUUAUCGAAUAACAAAAAAAUGUAAACAAAAAGUUGGAGGAAAAUGUCAGGUAGU